rnacentral:tRNA from 1 species
CCCUCGGUGGUGCAAACGGUUAACACGCUUGACUGCUAACCAAAAGACUGGAGGUUCAAGUCUACCCAGAGGUG